GACUAGAAUAUUGCAAUAAGAUAGCAUACGGAGGUAAUAUACAAUUGACGAAACAAGCUAUCGAUAAUCUGACUCUAUGUUCAGAGUGUUGUUUUGAAGAUGGCUGCAACACAGAAGGGUGUGGUUAUAUUAAACCGUUAAAGUAUACUCAGUGUUUUAAGUGUGACGAAAUCUACGAGGGAGGACCAGAGUGUACAACGAUAGUGGAUUGUGAUUUAGAGAGAUACGCGUGUUCUGUAUCAAAUCAUCCAAACUCCCAUCGCCCUGGCGCUUAUGAAUUAGGCUGCAAAUUUCAGCGAGCGCAAUGCGAGAUCCUUCUGAACUUGCCUGCUAAUUCGGGAGAUGGAAACGUAAAGUGUUGUAACACGAUCCUGUGUAAUGUCAGCCCAUUUGACAGGAAGACCAAUAAAACAGGUAAGGUUCACAAUGUC